GGAGCUAAGUAAUCGUCGAGCUUUCGCUGUACUCAGAAGUCUACCUACGAAGUUCAAUCAACUACUAACGAAAAUGCCGGGACCAAAGUGUGGAAGUGAUAAAUGCUGCGGUGAAAAAUGCCAAGACUGCAAGUGUGGAGACAAGUGCAAGUGUAGCGAAGACAAAUGUUGCUGCAAAUCUGGCGGACAAUGCUCUUGCAAAUCCUGUAGCUGCUAAACUCGACUCAGGCUAUCAAUAAAAUGAUGAGCAUCGCUAAAAACGGAUGUUGCAACGAACAUUAGCCGCCAUUAUCCACUUAGGCGCCCUUUACUAUCAUUAUUAAACCAUGGCGAACUAUAUUCAAGCAUUUUAAACUAUUACAAGUUAUAGUAUUAUAUGAAGAGUAUUUAAUAAAGAUGAUAGAAUUCUAACGAAAA